rnacentral:tRNA from 1 species
UUCAGGAUGGCCGAGUGGUUAUGGCAUCGGACUUCUGAUCCGAUUGACAGUUGUGUCCGUAGGUUCGAUUCCUGCUCUUGAAC